CGCGCCGCCCCCGCGGGGUCCCGCAGCGUUCGGUGUGGGCGGACCGCGAUUCCGGGCCCGGUGGGGUUCGGGGGGAGAGGGGCCGCCCGUCCCGUCUAACCCUGAGCUCCGGGAUCCGCCCCGCCGGGGACCGAACCGCACCGGGACCGAACCGAACCGCACAGCGACGCACCGGGACCGAAUCGCCACCGCCGGGAGGAGCGGAGCGCGGAGCACCGGCCGGAGGUGCACGGAUCCAGCGCCGCUGCACCCUGACGAGACCUGAGUGCUCUGCAUGCAGACAGAAGCCCAGCAACCACGGUGACACACGUGUGAACAUAUGCUGCACCUGGGGUAGGGGCAACAUGAGGGGCGUCCCUUGGAGCUGCUCCCCCCAUCCGUGCUGCACGGCGCGGGCGCAGCACAC